rnacentral:lncRNA from 1 species
AAAAGGAGUGGGAGCCUCCAUUCUCAUAUUGCAGGUUGGAAGCUGGAAGCAAGAAGAUGACUUGAUAUGGAAGCUGGAACAGUACAAUGAAGUAGCACCCCGGCCAAUUCUUCCUGAACCCCAUCCUGGCCUCCCUUCUGUAAGUCAUGUUACUGUAACCACUAUCUCCAGACAGGACUAGUGUCUCAGAGAGAGAGAGAGUAUUCUUUAAGUGGCUGGCAACAUAAGGGAGAAAUGUGAAACCUGUUAAUGUGGGACACUGGCUGUGGAGGCAUCUUUUCUUGUAUCAUACUUUAUCCACCUUUCAGUGUCACUGAAAACUACAUGGAAAGUAAGUUCCCACAACCAAAUAAAUCAUCACCUCCCUUAACUACACUCCAAGAUUAUCUCCCCACAUCAAGAAAGUUUCAAUCUAAUAGGAAUCUCAGUGGAAAAAACAGACUCAUGGUGAAGAAUAUUCAUACACAUGAGCAGCUCCUUGAAGUAGAGUUAAAACAACAGUAACUAAAAAGCAAAACAGACGAACUUCACUUAAAAAACAAAGCUAAUAGAAUUGGAACAAACCUCUAGAAAAUGCAUAGAUAAUAUUGUUCAGGAGGUGCUCUGGUAUUGCAUCCAUGAAGCAAAACAGGCAUUAUAGAAAGGAAUCAGUAAGAUGUGGUGGCACAUGCACACAAUCCCUGCUAUGGGGAGACUGAGGCAGGAGGAUCACAAAUUUGAGGCCAGAUUGGGCAAUGUUGUAAGAUCCUGUCUCAAAAUAAAACAAAAACUGGAGAUGCAGCUCUGAGAUAGAAUGCUCCUGAGUUUAAUUCCCAGUUCUGAAAAAAGAAAAGAAAAGAAAAACCCGAAUUGGAGAUCUUGAAAAUGAAAAACAGUUUUGAAAUAAGUCACUGAAUGGGCAGAAUGAAUUACAGAGUAGAUAAACUGAAGAAUGAAUUAAUGAACUGGAUGACUGUAGAGAGAAAUUUUCCCAGAAUGCAAUAAGAAAGGGAAAUAGAUGGAAAUAUGAAAGAGGAUUUAGACAACAUGGUAGAUGUACGUGUGCUAAUUCCAGUCAAAUGGGAGUGUCAAGAGAAAUUGGAGAAACUUGGGAAGAUCCUGUCUCAAACAAAUACAACAACAACAACAACAAACCAGGCACUUAGAGAUGUAGCUCAGUGGUAAAAGCACCAACAGGAUUCAAUCUCCAGGAUCUUUUUAAAAAAAGAGAGAGAGGGUAAGAGCAAGCCAUUGGAGGGGAAGAUAUGGCAAAAAUACUUUAUGCUGAAACUCUAAUCCCUCUUUCUUGUUGGCCAGUCUUUCUCCCACUUAUAGAGGCCGAAAAUGUCCACACAUUGCUUUUCCAGCUUUUCCAGCUGGGUCGAGGAAGUGUGACUCAGGUCUGAUCAAUGGGAUUUGACAGGAAUUCUGCUAGGAGACUUACAUGAAAGUAAGUAUUUCCUCAUAAUACUAAGAGAUGCACAAGGAGAAAUUGCUUUCCUUUGUUUGAAUCUUGUGUGAACAAUCUGGAGCUCCAAGGGUCAUCUUGCACCCAAAUGGAGAUGAAAGCCCUGCUGAGAGUGUCAGAAUAGGAC